AUACGGAGGGGGCUAGCGUUGUUCGGAAUUACUGGGCGUAAAGCGUACGCAGGCGGACCAUUAAGUUAGAGGUGAAAUCCCAGGGCUCAACCCUGGAACUGCCUUUAGAACUGCUGGUCUAGAGUUAUGGAGAGGUAAGUGGAAUUCCUAGUGUAGAGGUGAAAUUCGUAGAUAUUAGGAGGAACACCGGAGGCGAAGGCGGCUUACUGGACAUAUACUGACGCUGAGGUACGAAAGUGUGGGGAGCAAACAGGAUUAGAAACCCCAGUAGUCC
rnacentral:rRNA from 1 species